ensembl:snRNA U1 U1 spliceosomal RNA
UUACUUACCUGGCAGGGGAGAUUCCAUGAUCACAAAGGUGGUUUUCCCAGGGCGAGGCUUUCCAUUGCACUCUGGAUGUGCUGACCCCUGCGAUUUCCCCAAUUGUGGGAGACAUGACCGCAUAAUUUGUGGUCGUGGGGACUGCAUUUGUGCUUUCCCCUA